AGCACAGGCAAAAUAAGGGUGGCAUUCAUUAUUUUGGCCACAGCCACUGCAUUGCAUAUAGCAAUCCUUUGCUGAUUCAAACCACCCUCAGCAUGGAUAAAUAUGUAACCAGUUGUUUCAUUCUCUGGAGGAACAUCAGAUAUUCCACCAUUGCGGCGCUCAGCACAAGGCUUCCAAGAGGUUGUUGCAGAAUAUGGAUUCUCCCAGAGCGAAGCAGGUUCCUUGACAUAUGGACAAUGAAGUACAAUUCCAUCUUUUUUACACAAGUAGGUAUUAUAGUUCUUGAUGGAAGAUCGAGAAAACCGAGAUCAAUGCAGCAAGAACUAUAAUACCGAGCAAAAUUAACGAGAUCCUGGAAUUGCAAGGAGAAAACCUAAGAUCGUCACCGAAGAAUGGUAGAUUGGACCAAAACGGACGGUCACGAUCUCUGGUGAAGUGAUGACGGGCGUGGUGGUGAUCGUCGUCAUCUGUAACAUUUUCGUGUAUAAGAGGCGACGCGUCCUCAUCCCGCUUCAUUGGAGAGUUGGAAGCUCUGGCCCCGAGAGAGCUCGAGUGCCUGAGCUCCGCCAUAGCUCGCUUCGGACUGAAAGCCAGCUCCUAAUGAAACUGAAAAAGACCUCCCGCUUUUAUUUUUCACUCACCGUCGUAGCAGUGGCCGUGGUAGUGG
rnacentral:misc_RNA from 1 species